AAGGUAGCUGUCCAGCACACUACUGACGCUCAUGCACGAAAGCGUGGGUAUCGAACAGGAUUAGAUACCCUGGUAGUCCACGCGGUAAACGAUGAUAACUAGUUAUCCGGCUAAAUUGGUAGCUGGGUGACCGAGCGAAAGCGUUAAGUUAUCCACCUGGGGAGUACGCCGGCAACGGUGAAACUCAAAGGAAUUGACGGGGGCCCGCACAAGCGGAGGAACAUGUGGUUUAAUUCGAUGAUACGCGAGGAACCUUACCCGGGCUCAAACGCAAGGCGCUACACCCUGAAAGGGGUGGUUCUUCGGACGUCUUGCGAGGUGCUGCAUGGUUGUCGUCAGCUCGUGCCGUGAGGUGUCGGCUUAAGUGCCAUAACGAGCGCAACCCCCAUCUUCAGUUGCUAUCGGUUCAAGCCGGGCACUCUGGAGAGACUGCCGGCGCAAGCUGUGAGGAAGGCGGGGAUGACGUCAAAUCAGCACGGCCCUUACGUCCGGGGCGACACACGUGUUGCAAGGCGGGGGACAGCGGGAAGCCACGGGCGACGCCGAGCCGAUCCCGAAAACCCGUCUCAGUUCGGAUCGGAGUCUGCAACCCGACUCCGU
rnacentral:rRNA from 1 species